rnacentral:rRNA from 1 species
UCGAGAAUCUUCGGCAAUGAGCGCAAGCUUGACCGAGCGACGCCGCGUGUGGGAUGAAGGCCUUCGGGUUGUAAACCACUGUCGUAGGGGACGAAAUUCUAGUGGGUACUCCCAAUAGAUUGACAGAUCCUAGGAGGAAGGGUGGGCUAAGUUCGUGCCAGCAGCCGCGGUAAGACGUACCACCCGAACGUUAUUCGGAUUCACUGGGCUUACAGAGUCCGUAGGCGGUCAAGAAAGUUAGGCGUGAAAUCCCUCAGCUCAACUGAGGAAUAGCGCUUAAAACUACUUGGCUAGAGAGAGUCAGAGGUGAGCGGAACUGAUGGUGGAGCGGUGAAAUGCGUUGAUAUCAUCAGGAACACCGGUGGCGAAAGCGGCUCACUGGGGCUUUUCUGACGCUGAGGGACGAAAGCUAGGGGAGCGAACGGGAUUAGAUACCCCCGUAGUCC